rnacentral:rRNA from 1 species
AUUGAGCGCUGGCGGCAGGCCUAACACAUGCAAGUCGAGCGGAUGAGAGGAGCUUGCUCUUCGAUUCAGCGGCGGACGGGUGAGUAAUGCCUAGGAAUCUGCCCAGUAGUGGGGGACAACGUUUCGAAAGGAACGCUAAUACCGCAUACAUCCUACGGGAGAAAGUGGGGGAUCUUCGGACCUCACGCUAUUGGAUGAGCCUAGGUCGGAUUAGCUAGUUGGUAGGGUAAAGGCCUACCAAGGCGACGAUCCGUAACUGGUCUGAGAGGAUGGUCAGUCACACGGAAACUGGGACACGGUCCAGACUCCUACGGGAGGCAGCAGUGGGGAAUAUUGGACAAUGGGCGCAAGCCUGAUCCAGCCAUGCCGCGUGUGAAGAAGGCCCUCGGGUCGUAAAGCACUUUAAGUUGGGGGGAAGGGCUUACAGCGAAUACCUGUGAGUUUUGACGUUACCGACAGAAUAAGCACCGGCUAACUUCGUGCCAGCCGCCGCAGUAA